UACGGGGGCAGCAGUGGGGAAUCUUGCACAAUGGAGGAAACUCUGAUGCAGCGAUGCGCGUGAGUGAAGAAGGCCUUUGGGUUGUAAAGCUCUUUCGUCGGGAAGAAAAUGACUGUACCCGAAUAAGAAGGUCCGGCUAACUUCGUGCCAGCAGCCGCGGUAAU
rnacentral:rRNA from 1 species